rnacentral:rRNA from 1 species
AGUGAACGCUGGCGGUAGGCCUAACACAUGCAAGUCGAACGGCAGCACAGUAAGAGCUUGCUCUUACGGGUGGCGAGUGGCGGACGGGUGAGGAAUACAUCGGAAUCUACUUUUUCGUGGGGGAUAACGUAGGGAAACUUACGCUAAUACCGCAUACGACCUACGGGUGAAAGCAGGGGAUCUUCGGACCUUGCGCGAUUGAAUGAGCCGAUGUCGGAUUAGCUAGUUGGCGGGGUAAAGGCCCACCAAGGCGACGAUCCGUAGCUGGUCUGAGAGGAUGAUCAGCCACCCUGGAACUGAGACACGGUCCAGACUCCUACGGGAGGCAGCAGUGGGGAAUAUUGGACAAUGGGCGCAAGCCUUAUCCAGCCAUACCGCGUGGGUGAAGAAGGCCUUCGGGUUGUAAAGCCCUUUUGUUGGGAAAGAAAAGCAGCAGGUUAAUACCCCGCUGUUCUGACGGUACCCAAAGAAUAAGCACCGGCUAACUUCGUG